UGGGGAAGUAUUGGACAAUGGGGGCAACCCGUGAUCCAGCGACGCCGCGUGAGUGAAGAAGUAUUUCGGUAUGUAAAGCUCUAUCAGCAGGGAAGAUAAUGACAGUACCUGACUAAGAAGCACCGGCUAACUCCGUGCCAGCAGCCGCGGUAAUACGGAGGAUGCGAGCGUUAUCCGGAUUUAUUGGGUUUAAAGGGUGCGCAGGCGGGCGUCUAAGUCAGCGGUGAAAGUUCCCGGCUCAACCGGGUCAGUGCCGAUGAUACUGGGGGCCUUGAAUGCGGUCGAGGCCGGCGGAAUGUGGCGUGUAGCGGUGAAAUGCAUAGAUAUGCCACAGAACACCGAUAGCGAAGGCAGCUGGCCGGCCUGCAUUGACGCUGAGGCAC
rnacentral:rRNA from 1 species